rnacentral:tRNA from 1 species
GCCUCCGUGGCUCAGUUGGUUAGAGCGCUGCUCCGGAAUCGCAGGGCCGUAGGUUCAAUUCCUACUGGAGGAC